GCAUCGGUGAUGUAAUGGUUAGCGUGUUCGCCUCGGGUGCGGUAGAUCGUGGGUUCGAGUCCGAGUCCAGAUCA
rnacentral:tRNA from 1 species